ACAUGAGAAUUUGUGAAGUGCUCUAAAAAAGGUCUCUCACCAAAUGGCUCAAAGGAUGAGCCACUGCCCAGACUAAAGAUGCCAGUGUGGUUCUCCCAUACACAGAAACAGACAGUCUCACCUGGUUCCAAGUCUGGGCUCUGCCCAUGACCAGUUGGUCACCACUCUUCUGCUGUCCCCUAGACCCCUCCAUGAAUGUCUACACAGGCCCAUAAGUUAUUUUCAGUGGCGGCAAUACCUUGGAUGUCUUUACAGAUGGACUGUCUAUACAAUACCAACAACAGCUGGGGCCUCUGCCUUCCGUGACGUCAUCAUUUGAGAUACAGAAAGACAGACAGACAAACCCAAGAGCAGAUUUUGAGAAUCAACUGAGGCACAAGUGAAACUACUUUGAUGUUACAUAGCUGUUGCUCCCCCCCAACCAAUGAGUCACGUGGAACUAAAAAAAAAAUGUAAAAAGUUGAAUGAAGAAAAAUGUGGGGAUAUAUAUAUCCUUGUCGUUCCUCUGUCGUGCCAAAAAUAGAUCCAAGGCUGGCCUUAGAAAGAUGCCCAAAACACAUCUCAUAGGUAGCACGUAUCUGUGGUUUGAAAUACUCAUCAAAUUCUAAAGACUCCAUUUGUUCAAAGCCUAAAUAAUAUGCUAGUCAACCACAGCAACGAAGGCUGACUGCUUGCAUCAGCAACACAGCGUUUGAUCCUGAAGUGGAAGGCUCAGUCAAACAUCACUGUUCCGACUGCAGAUCACAGCACCUUACACUGACGUGAGCUGGUAAGUUUAUGGUGGAAUUUGAGUGAGGCAGUUGAUGAAGGCGAUUGACCCUAAGAAGUGGGAUGAAUACAGAGCAUAGACCCAGCACACAGUUCCAGACCAAACUAUCGAUGCCAGUUACCAGGGCCCCCACGGAUCACGUCCUGGUUGUGCAACAACGCCUCUAUCCCCCUCAGUAUCUCUGCUCCACAAACAUAAGAACAAAACAACCUCAUCUGUGAGCUAGCGGGAAGGAGAAGGAGAGAGAAGCUGAAAAGAAAUCUGGGUUUUCUAGAAACUCUUCUGAGAAGGAUCCAGAAUAAGAGGUGAGCAGUAAGUAACUGAUCCUCCUGGCUAGGUUUCGUGGCGUCUCUAAAGAUUCGUGGCUUUGGAACACCGGAAUACACCAGCUUAUGCCUGACCUUGCUCAUCAACACACACUCAGUACGAACAGGUGGAGAUGUACCAAAUCCGACCACUACAGGUUGAAAAUAUGACCACUAUUGACCAUGGAAACAUUGGCUUAUGCUCGAAGGGCCACAGCAGCCAGACAUAUGCGAAUUCCAACUCUUCAGAAAACUUGGGACAGAAACAAAAUGCAUUACUUACAUGUGUGUGUCUUCUUCGUUACUGAGAUCCCUGGAAAAGAAGAGAAAGAGACAAAGGUCAAGAGAGGUUCUGUGAGGGUCUCUGUGGUCAUAAGUCAUGCAGUGUGUGCUUGAAACAUGUCACCUUUAGCCAGUGACAAAGCUGGAAUUGGCCACGGGACGUACUGCAAAGCCUUGAACUGUAAAGGACAGGGACCAUGGGCUCAUCCACUCUCUUAUCAACUAACUGCACGGCUGACCGCUCAGUCAGCACAGUGCACCAGUGCGUGCCUUGCAAACACAAGAGUUCAACCCCCCAGAAUCCAUGUUAAAAAGUUGUUCAUGUUGGCACAUGCUUGUAAUCCCUUUGCUGAGGAGGCACACCACAUUCCUGGAGCUUGCUACCCAUCCAGCCUAGCUUAAUUGGUGAAUUGCAGGUCAAUCAGAAACUGUCUUCAAAAUAAAAGUGGAUGACAACUGCGGAACUCUACCUAGGGUGGUCCUCCACACACACAUGCACAUACAUGGACCUGCACACACAUGUGCACCCCUCUCAUGUAUGCACACACAUGCAUGCACACACACAAAGCAGUAGCACAGACCAUAGUGAAACAGGAAGAAAAAGAUGAGAAGAAGCUCAUUGCCUCAUCAUCAGUACGGAGGGCAUCAUGCGAAUAGGCCAAGAGAAGGCACACGAGAGCAGCCGACCCACGCUGACAAGAGUGGGCUGAGCAGUUAACUUGGCACAGCCACUGAUUUCGAGUUUCCCUUUUAAUGAAAAUAGUCCUUCCUGCUCACUCAAAGCGUAGCUUUUUAUGGUGAAGAAAAAUACAACCCUGCGUACACGCAUACACACACACACACACACACACA